rnacentral:rRNA from 1 species
AUUGAACGCUGGCGGCAGGCCUAACACAUGCAAGUCGAACGGUAGCACAGAGAGCUUGCUCUCGGGUGACGAGUGGCGGACGGGUGAGUAAUGCCUGGGAAACUGCCUGAUGGAGAGGGAUAACUACUGGAAACGGUAGCUAAUACCGCAUAACGUCGCAAGACCAAAGAGGGGGGACCUUCGGGCCUCUUGCCAUCAGAUGUGCCCAGAUGGGAUUAG